rnacentral:lncRNA from 1 species
CUUGAAAUGGGCUGAGUCCCUCUUGCUCACCCUUGACUUGGAAAAACCAGUUUCUCUUUUAUUGUCUGUUACUAAUCUCUAUUCUAAAAAUUCAGCUCAAUUCUCAACCAUACUCCAAACUCUCUCUUUUCCAGCUACCUUUACUCCCUCUCCUUCAAUUCCACUUUCCUCUGCUUACUUUUUUUUUUUUUCUGACAGGGUCUCACUUUGUCGCCCGGGCAGGAGUGCAGUGGCUCAAUCUUGGGCUCACUGCAGCCUCAACCUCCCAGAGGCGGGGUUUCACCAUGUUGCCCAGACUGGUCUUGAACUCCUGAGCUUAAGCAAUCCACCUGCCUCGGCCUCCCAAAGUGUUGGGAUCACAGGCGUGAGCCACCGCAUCCGGCCUCAUGUUCUUUUUCAUUAAAGAGAGAAAUCAACUAUUCAGGACCGGCCCCCACCUUUCCUCAGGAGUCAUUUCUGUUCCGCACAGGCCUGCUGAACUGGGUGCUUUAUAUAGGAAAGGACCAACCACACCGAGCUCAGUUAUGGCACACACAGUGGGACCUAGACAAAGGGAGAGGGUGACCGACAUCCCAACUAGAUUUCAGUGGAGUGAAGUUCAGGAGGCAUGGAGCUGACAACCAUGAGGCCUCGGCAGCCACCGCCACCACCGCCGCCGCCACCACCGUAGCAGCAGCAGCAGCAGCAGCAGCAGCAGCAGCAGCAGCAAGAGUAACUCUGACUUAGGAAUAGAGACAGCCAGAGAGAAAUGUGAUCAAUGAAGGAGACAUCUGGAGUGUGCGUGCUUCUUCAGAGGGACGGGUGAUGGGCAGAUUGGAAAAAGCACCGCAGAUGGGAACCUUAAUCUUUCUUUUCUAAAAUUGAUGCUAUGAAAAUUUGCGUUUUCUGUAACUUGUAAAAACUAAAAGUUGCUUGUCUACUGAAAAAAAAAAAAAAAAAA